GCUACCAUGUAAACAUGGAAAUCAUGCAACCAUCAGAAUAAAAGAACCUAUCAGAAGCACAUAUCAAAUCAUGCAACCAUCAGAAUAAAAGAUUUUUACAGUUCUAUCACCAUAGUCAUGUCAUUAAAAAGAGACAUAUCCUACAUAAACAUAUAUAUCAAGCCUAAACAAGUAGUAAACAUGUUUACACCCCAUGAGCAGCCAAGAAGCAAGAAGCAAUAGCCAGUACUACUGCCUCAAGCCCUUGAACACAAAAAGGCGAGAACUGGAUGCAGAGGUUUAUCGAUCGAUUCCCGCGUUGUCGUUGGCUGCAACAAGGACCAAAAAGAAGAAAAAAAAAGAACACCCUCUCAAAGAAAUUCGCCGCUCCUGGAUCAGCGCCACAAGGCAGGGAAGGGAUCGAUAAACCACUGCGCCCAGGCAUCACCACCAACCCCCCACCCCCACCUGCGAACAUGAUGGAUUAGCGCAAGAAACCGGAACAAAACAAGAACGGAACACAGAGCCACCUGCAAGAUCGGGCACGAACGAACACUCGUGGGUGUGAAUCUGUGUUUUCUCGUGUGUGCAAUGAGGAAGG
rnacentral:precursor_RNA from 2 species